CCAGCAGACCCUCCCUCCCAGACCCUCCUACUUCCUGGACAGCAUUCAACAUGGAUGCUGUCCAGGAAGUAGGAGGGUCUGGGAGGGAGGGUCUGCUGGAGAU
rnacentral:miRNA from 1 species